rnacentral:rRNA from 1 species
UACGGAGGGUGCGAGCGUUGUCCGGAUUUAUUGGGCGUAAAGCGGGUGUAGGUGGGCUUCUAAGUCAGAUGUGAAAUCCCAGGGCUCAACCCUGGAAGUGCAUUUGAUACUGGAAGUCUUGAGUGUGGUAGAGGUUACUGGAAUUGUUGGUGUAGUGGUGAAAUACGUAGAUAUCAACAGGAAUACCGGAGGCGAAGGCGAGUAACUGGGCCAACACUGACACUGAGACCCAAAAGCGUGGGGAUCAAACAGGAUUAGAAACCCCGGUAGU